AACGUAGGAGACAAACGUUAUCCGGAGUUACUGGGCGUAAAGGGCGUGUAGGCGGUUUGUUAAGUCUGGCGUGAAAGCUCUCGGCUAAACCGGGAGAGGUCGUUGGAUACUGGCAAACUAGAGGAUGGUAGAGGCGUGUGGAAUUCCGGGUGUAGUGGUGAAACGCGUAGAGAUCCGGAGGAACACCAGUGGCGAAGGCGACACGCUGGGCCAUACCUGACGCUAAAGCGCGACAGCAUGGGGAGCAAACGGG
rnacentral:rRNA from 1 species